CGAUGUCGACUUGGAGGUUGUGCCCNUGAGGCGUGGCUUCCGGAGCUAACGCGUUAAGUCGACCGCCUGGGGAGUACGGCCGCAAGGUUAAAAAACUCAAAUGAAUUGACGGGGGCCCGCACAAGCGGUGGAGCAUGUGGUUUAAUUCGAUGCUAACGCGAAGAACCUUACCUACUCUUGACAUCCAGAGAACUUAGCAGAGAUGCUUUGGUGCCUUCGGGAACUCUGAGACAGGUGCUGCAUGGCUGUCGUCAGCUCGUGUUGUGAAAUGUUGGGGUUAAGUCCCGCAACGAGCGCAACCCUUAUCCUUUGUUGCCAGCGCGUGAUGGCGGGAACUCAAAGGAGACUGCCGGUGAUAAACCGGAGGAAGGUGGGGAUGACGUCAAGUCAUCAUGGCCCUUACGAGUAGGGCUACACACGUGCUACAAUGGCGUAUACAAAGGGAAGCGACCCCGCGCGAGGGCAAGCGGAACUCAUAAAGUACGUCGUAGUCCGGAUUGGAGUCUGCAACUCGACUCCAUGAAGUCGGAAUCGCUAGUAAUCGUAGAUCAGAAUGCUACGGUGAAUACGUUCCCGGGCCCGCUUGUACACACCGCCCGUCACACCAUGGGAGUGGGUUGCAAAAGAAGUAGGUAGCUUAACCGCCGGGAGGGCGGACCAC
rnacentral:rRNA from 1 species